UACGUAGGUGGCAAGCGUUGUCCGGAAUUAUUGGGCGUAAAGCGCGCGCAGGCGGUCCUUUAAGUCUGAUGUGAAAGCCCACGGCUCAACCGUGGAGGGUCAUUGGAAACUGGGGGACUUGAGUGCAGGAGAGAAGAGUGGAAUUCCACGUGUAGCGGUGAAAUGCGUAGAGAUGUGGAGGAACACCAGUGGCGAAGGCGACUCUUUGGCCUGUAACUGACGCUGAGGCGCGAAAGCGUGGGUAGCAAACAGGAUUAGAUACCCUGGUAGUCCACGCCGUAAACGAUGAGUGCUAAGUGUUAGAGGGUUUCCGCCCUUUAGUGCUGCAGUAAACGCAUUAAGCACUCCGCCUGGGGAGUACGGCCGCAAGGCUGAA
rnacentral:rRNA from 1 species